CCCUGGCUCUAGCAGCGCGAAAGCGCUGCUGUAGCAGCAGCGCUUUCGCGCUGCUGGGCGGGU
rnacentral:miRNA from 1 species